CGUGAGUGAGGAAGGCCUUAGGGUUGUAAAGCUCUUUCGCACGCGACGAUGAUGACGGUAGCGUGAGAAGAAGCCCCGGCUAACUUCGUGC
rnacentral:rRNA from 1 species